UACGUAGGGUGCGAGCGUUAAUCGGAAUUACUGGGCGUAAAGUGUGCGCAGGCGGCCGAGCAAGUCGAGUGUGAAAGCCCCGAGCUUAACUUGGGAACUGCGCUCGAAACUACUUGGCUAGAGUGUGGCAGAGGGAGGUGGAAUUCCACGUGUAGCGGUGAAAUGCGUAGAUAUCAGGAGGAACACCGGUGGCGAAGGCGGCUACCUGGACAGAAACUGACGCUGAGGCGCGAAAGCUAGGGGAGCAAACAGG
rnacentral:rRNA from 1 species